UGGACCAAUGAUGACCACUGGUGGCGUUUGAGUCAUGGACGAUGAAUACUACGUGUCUGAAACUCUGAGGUCCAA
rnacentral:snoRNA from 10 species